rnacentral:rRNA from 1 species
GGCUCGCAAGAGCAGUCGCGAAAGGGUGAGUAACACGUGAGCAAUCUGCCCCUGGGUUCGGGACAACAGCUGGAAACGGCUGCUAAUACCGGAUGAAGAAAGCGAGUCGCAUGGCUUGCUUUCGAAAGGCGUAAUCCGCCCGGGGAUGAGCUCGCGGCCCAUUAGCUAGUUGGCGAGGUAACGGCUCACCAAGGCUCUGACGGGUAGGUGGUCUGAGAGGAUGGUCACCCACAUUGGUACUGAGACACUGACCAGACUCCUGCGGGAGGCUGCAGUCGAGAAUCUUCCGCAAUGCGCGAAAGCGUGACGGAGCAAUGCCGCGUGAAGGAUGAAGGUCUUCGGAUUGUAAACUUCUGUCAAGAGGGAAAAACAGUGAUGGUACCUCUGGAGGAAGCCACGGCAAACUACGUGCCAGCAGCCGCGGUAAUACGUAGGUGGCGAGCGUUAUUCGGAAUCACUGGGCGUAAAGGGUCCGUAGGUGGUUGGUUAAGUCUGAUGUGAAAUUUUGGAGCUCAACUUCAAACGUGCAUUGGGUACUGGCUGACUAGAGUGCAUCAGAGGCAGGUGGAAUUUGUGAUGUAGCGGUGGAAUGCGUAGAUAUCACAAGGAACACCAAAGGCGAAGGCAGCCUGCUGGGAUGUAACUGACACUGAGGGACGAAAGUCAGGGGAGCAAAAAGGAUUAGAUACCCUUGUAGUCCUGACCGUAAACGUUGUACACUCGAUGUCGGAGGAGUUGAACCCUUCGGUGUCUUAGCUAACGCGAUAAGUGUACCGCCUGGGAAGUACAGCCGCAAGGCUAAAACUCAAAGAAAUUGACGGGGGCCCGCACAAGCGGUGGAGCAUGUGGCUUAAUUCGAGGCCACGCGAAGAACCUUACCUGGGUUUGACAUCAAGUGAAGACUUGUGAAAGCAGGUCGUCCGCAAGGACACGAAGACAGGUGCUGCAUGGCUGUCGUCAGCUCGUGCCGUGAGGUGUUCGGUUAAGUCCGGCAACGAGCGCAACCCACAUUGCCAAUUGCUAACAGAUAAUGCUGAGAACCUUGGCGAAACUGCCCGUGUCAAGCGGGAGGAAGGUGUGGAUGACGUCAAGUCAGUAUGGCCCUUACACCCAGGGCUGCACACGUGCUACAAUGGCCGGUACAGAAGGCUGCCAACCCGCGAGGGUGAGCGAAUCCCCAAAACCGGCCCCAGUUCAGAUUGCAGUCUGCAACUCGACUGCAUGAAGGCGGAAUCGCUAGUAAAGGCGUAUCAGCUACGACGCCUUGAAUACGUUCCCGGGCCUUGUACACACCGCCCGUCACAUCAUGGGAGUUGAGUUCACCCGAAGUCGUUGCACCAGCCCGCAAGGGAGGAAGGCGCCUAAGGUGGGCUUAAUGACUGGGAUGAAGUCGAAACAAGGUA